CGUACAAGCAGUGGGAGCCUCUUAAUGGGGUGACUGCGUACCUUUUGUAUAAUGGGUCAGCGACUUAUAUUCUGUAGCAAGGUUAACCGAAUAGGGGAGCCGAAGGGAAACCGAGUCUUAACUGGGCGUUAAGUUGCAGGGUAUAGACCCGAAACCCGGUGAUCUAGCCAUGGGCAGGUUGAAGGUUGGGUAACACUAACUGGAGGACCGAACCGACUAAUGUUGAAAAAUUAGCGGAUGACUUGUGGCUGGGGGUGAAAGGCCAAUCAAACCGGGAGAUAGCUGGUUCUCCCCGAAAGCUAUUUAGGUAGCGCCUCGUGAAUUCAUCUCCGGGGGUAGAGCACUGUUUCGGCAAGGGGGUCAUCCCGACUUACCAACCCGAUGCAAACUGCGAAUACCGGAGAAUGUUAUCACGGGAGACACACGGCGGGUGCUAACGUCCGUCGUGAAGAGGGAAACAACCCAGACCGCCAGCUAAGGUCCCAAAGUCAUGGUUAAGUGGGAAACGAUGUGGGAAGGCCCAGACAGCCAGGAUGUUGGCUUAGAAGCAGCCAUCAUUUAAAGAAAGCGUAAUAGCUCACUGGUCGAGUCGGCCUGCGCGGAAGAUGUAACGGGGCUAAACCAUGCACCGAAGCUGCGGCAGCGACGCUUAUGCGUUGUUGGGUAGGGGAGCGUUCUGUAAGCCUGUGAAGGUGUGCUGUGAGGCAUGCUGGAGGUAUCAGAAGUGCGAAUGCUGACAUAAGUAACGAUAAAGCGGGUGAAAAGCCCGCUCGCCGGAAGACCAAGGGUUCCUGUCCAACGUUAAUCGGGGCAGGGUGAGUCGACCCCUAAGGCGAGGCCGAAAGGCGUAGUCGAUGGGAAACAGGUUAAUAUUCCUGUACUUGGUGUUACUGCGAAGGGGGGACGGAGAAGGCUAUGUUGGCCGGGCGACGGUUGUCCCGGUUUAAGCGUGUAGGCUGGUUUUCCAGGCAAAUCCGGAAAACCAAGGCUGAGGCGUGAUGACGAGGCACUACGGUGCUGAAGCGACAAAUGCCCUGCUUCCAGGAAAAGCCUCUAAGCAUCAGGUAACAUCAAAUCGUACCCCAAACCGACACAGGUGGUCAGGUAGAGAAUACCAAGGCGCUUGAGAGAACUCGGGUGAAGGAACUAGGCAAAAUGGUGCCGUAACUUCGGGAGAAGGCACGCUGAUAUGUAGGUGAAGCGACUAGCUCGUGGAGCUGAAAUCAGUCGAAGAUACCAGCUGGCUGCAACUGUUUAUUAAAAACACAGCACUGUGCAAACACGAAAGUGGACGUAUACGGUGUGACGCCUGCCCGGUGCCGGAAGGUUAAUUGAUGGGGUUAGCGGUAACGCGAAGCUCUUGAUCGAAGCCCCGGUAAACGGCGGCCGUAACUAUAACGGUCCUAAGGUAGCGAAAUUCCUUGUCGGGUAAGUUCCGACCUGCACGAAUGGCGUAAUGAUGGCCAGGCUGUCUCCACCCGAGACUCAGUGAAAUUGAACUCGCUGUGAAGAUGCAGUGUACCCGCGGCAAGACGGAAAGACCCCGUGAACCUUUACUAUAGCUUGACACUGAACAUUGAGCCUUGAUGUGUAGGAUAGGUGGGAGGCUUUGAAGUGUGGACGCCAGUCUGCAUGGAGCCGACCUUGAAAUACCACCCUUUAAUGUUUGAUGUUCUAACGUUGGCCCGUAAUCCGGGUUGCGGACAGUGUCUGGUGGGUAGUUUGACUGGGGCGGUCUCCUCCUAAAGAGUAACGGAGGAGCACGAAGGUUGGCUAAUCCUGGUCGGACAUCAGGAGGUUAGUGCAAUGGCAUAAGCCAGCUUGACUGCGAGCGUGACGGCGCGAGCAGGUGCGAAAGCAGGUCAUAGUGAUCCGGUGGUUCUGAAUGGAAGGGCCAUCGCUCAACGGAUAAAAGGUACUCCGGGGAUAACAGGCUGAUACCGCCCAAGAGUUCAUAUCGACGGCGGUGUUUGGCACCUCGAUGUCGGCUCAUCACAUCCUGGGGCUGAAGUAGGUCCCAAGGGUAUGGCUGUUCGCCAUUUAAAGUGGUACGCGAGCUGGGUUUAGAACGUCGUGAGACAGUUCGGUCCCUAUCUGCCGUGGGCGCUGGAGAACUGAGGGGGGCUGCUCCUAGUACGAGAGGACCGGAGUGGACGCAUCACUGGUGUUCGGGUUGUCAUGCCAAUGGCACUGCCCGGUAGCUAAAUGCGGAAGAGAUAAGUGCUGAAAGCAUCUAAGCACGAAACUUGCCCCGAGAUGAGUUCU
rnacentral:rRNA from 1 species